GGCAAGGAUGUACAAAGUCGAGGAGGGAUGGAUUCAACAAUUUAACAAUAAACGUAAACAUAAUUCUAAGUGUUAGGACCACCAGAUGUAACAAGUAUGCAUGGGCUUGUUAAAAGAGGCAGAUAUCAGUUAGGAGCUGAACUACAACUGAAAAAGAAAGAAAGAAGAAAGGGAACAGUAUGCCGUCACAUCAUCAGAAAGAACC